rnacentral:snRNA from 1 species
GUCUCUUCGGAGACAUCCGAUAAAAUUGGAACGAUACAGAGAAUAUUAGCAUGGCCCUGUGCAACGAUGACACGUACAAAUCGAGAAAUGGUCCAAAUUUUU